rnacentral:rRNA from 1 species
AGCGUACACGGUGGAUGCCCUGGCAGUCAGAGGCGAUGAAGGACGUGCUAAUCUGCGAUAAGCGUCGGUGAGGUGAUAUGAACCGUUAUAACCGGCGAUUUCCGAAUGGGGAAACCCAGUGUGUUUCGACACACUAUCAUUAACUGAAUCCAUAGGUUAAUGAGGCGAACCGGGGGAACUGAAACAUCUAAGUACCCCGAGGAAAAGAAAUCAACCGAGAUUCCCCCAGUAGCGGCGAGCGAACGGGGAGGAGCCCAGAGCCUGAAUCAGUGUGUGUGUUAGUGGAAGCGUCUGGAAAGGCGCGCGAUACAGGGUGACAGCCCCGUACACAAAAAUGCACAUAUUGUGAGCUCGAUGAGUAGGGCGGGACACGUGGUAUCCUGUCUGAAUAUGGGGGGACCAUCCUCCAAGGCUAAAUACUCCUGACUGACCGAUAGUGAACCAGUACCGUGAGGGAAAGGCGAAAAGAACCCCGGCGAGGGGAGUGAAAAAGAACCUGAAACCGUGUACGUACAAGCAGUGGGAGCCUCUUAAUGGGGUGACUGCGUACCUUUUGUAUAAUGGGUCAGCGACUUAUAUUCUGUAGCAAGGUUAACCGAAUAGGGGAGCCGAAGGGAAACCGAGUCUUAACUGGGCGUUAAGUUGCAGGGUAUAGACCCGAAACCCGGUGAUCUAGCCAUGGGCAGGUUGAAGGUUGGGUAACACUAACUGGAGGACCGAACCGACUAAUGUUGAAAAAUUAGCGGAUGACUUGUGGCUGGGGGUGAAAGGCCAAUCAAACCGGGAGAUAGCUGGUUCUCCCCGAAAGCUAUUUAGGUAGCGCCUCGUGAAUUCAUCUCCGGGGGUAGAGCACUGUUUCGGCAAGGGGGUCAUCCCGACUUACCAACCCGAUGCAAACUGCGAAUACCGGAGAAUGUUAUCACGGGAGACACACGGCGGGUGCUAACGUCCGUCGUGAAGAGGGAAACAACCCAGACCGCCAGCUAAGGUCCCAAAGUCAUGGUUAAGUGGGAAACGAUGUGGGAAGGCCCAGACAGCCAGGAUGUUGGCUUAGAAGCAGCCAUCAUUUAAAGAAAGCGUAAUAGCUCACUGGUCGAGUCGGCCUGCGCGGAAGAUGUAACGGGGCUAAACCAUGCACCGAAGCUGCGGCAGCGACGCUUAUGCGUUGUUGGGUAGGGGAGCGUUCUGUAAGCCUGUGAAGGUGUGCUGUGAGGCAUGCUGGAGGUAUCAGAAGUGCGAAUGCUGACAUAAGUAACGAUAAAGCGGGUGAAAAGCCCGCUCGCCGGAAGACCAAGGGUUCCUGUCCAACGUUAAUCGGGGCAGGGUGAGUCGACCCCUAAGGCGAGGCCGAAAGGCGUAGUCGAUGGGAAACAGGUUAAUAUUCCUGUACUUGGUGUUACUGCGAAGGGGGGACGGAGAAGGCUAUGUUGGCCGGGCGACGGUUGUCCCGGUUUAAGCGUGUAGGCUGGUUUUCCAGGCAAAUCCGGAAAACCAAGGCUGAGGCGUGAUGACGAGGCACUACGGUGCUGAAGCGACAAAUGCCCUGCUUCCAGGAAAAGCCUCUAAGCAUCAGGUAACAUCAAAUCGUACCCCAAACCGACACAGGUGGUCAGGUAGAGAAUACCAAGGCGCUUGAGAGAACUCGGGUGAAGGAACUAGGCAAAAUGGUGCCGUAACUUCGGGAGAAGGCACGCUGAUAUGUAGGUGAAGCGACUUGCUCGUGGAGCUGAAAUCAGUCGAAGAUACCAGCUGGCUGCAACUGUUUAUUAAAAACACAGCACUGUGCAAACACGAAAGUGGACGUAUACGGUGUGACGCCUGCCCGGUGCCGGAAGGUUAAUUGAUGGGGUUAGCGGUAACGCGAAGCUCUUGAUCGAAGCCCCGGUAAACGGCGGCCGUAACUAUAACGGUCCUAAGGUAGCGAAAUUCCUUGUCGGGUAAGUUCCGACCUGCACGAAUGGCGUAAUGAUGGCCAGGCUGUCUCCACCCGAGACUCAGUGAAAUUGAACUCGCUGUGAAGAUGCAGUGUACCCGCGGCAAGACGGAAAGACCCCGUGAACCUUUACUAUAGCUUGACACUGAACAUUGAGCCUUGAUGUGUAGGAUAGGUGGGAGGCUUUGAAGUGUGGACGCCAGUCUGCAUGGAGCCGACCUUGAAAUACCACCCUUUAAUGUUUGAUGUUCUAACGUGGGCCCCUAAUCGGGGUUGCGGACAGUGUCUGGUGGGUAGUUUGACUGGGGCGGUCUCCUCCUAAAGAGUAACGGAGGAGCACGAAGGUUGGCUAAUCCUGGUCGGACAUCAGGAGGUUAGUGCAAUGGCAUAAGCCAGCUUGACUGCGAGCGUGACGGCGCGAGCAGGUGCGAAAGCAGGUCAUAGUGAUCCGGUGGUUCUGAAUGGAAGGGCCAUCGCUCAACGGAUAAAAGGUACUCCGGGGAUAACAGGCUGAUACCGCCCAAGAGUUCAUAUCGACGGCGGUGUUUGGCACCUCGAUGUCGGCUCAUCACAUCCUGGGGCUGAAGUAGGUCCCAAGGGUAUGGCUGUUCGCCAUUUAAAGUGGUACGCGAGCUGGGUUUAGAACGUCGUGAGACAGUUCGGUCCCUAUCUGCCGUGGGCGCUGGAGAACUGAGGGGGGCUGCUCCUAGUACGAGAGGACCGGAGUGGACGCAUCACUGGUGUUCGGGUUGUCAUGCCAAUGGCACUGCCCGGUAGCUAAAUGCGGAAGAGAUAAGUGCUGAAAGCAUCUAAGCACGAAACUUGCCCCGAGAUGAGUUCU